rnacentral:tRNA from 1 species
GUGUUCGUGGUGUAGUGGUCAGCACGCUUGAUACGUAACCGAGAGUUCCGUGGUUCGAUUCCCGGCGAAGGCG